UCUAUUAGACAAUAGUUGUAUUUAAACUCACAGUAUAUGUGUUGUCGUAUUUUGCACGACAAUUGUAUUACUGAAGUUGUAUUUGUUUUUGUACCAUGUAUUUGGCGACUCAGAAUGGGUUGGAUGAAAUGGACCUGUUUUGGGGGCGUCACAAUCUUAGUCAUAAUAUUCUUUACUGGGCUAGUUGAGCUCACCAUUUUUCUUUUUGUUCCAUUUUUCUUCUUAGGAGGUGAGAACAUAGUAGGAACUAGUCAGGG
rnacentral:lncRNA from 1 species